rnacentral:rRNA from 1 species
UACGAAGGGUGCAAGCGUUAAUCGGAAUUACUGGGAGUAAAGGGUGCGUAGGCGGUUGUUUAAGUCUGUCGUGAAAUCCCCGGGCUCAACCUGGGAAUGGCGAUGGAUACUGGGCAGCUAGAGUGUGUCAGAGGAUGGUGGAAUUCCCGGUGUAGCGGUGAAAUGCGUAGAGAUCGGGAGGAACAUCAGUGGCGAAGGCGGCCAUCUGGGACAACACUGACGCUGAAGCACGAAAGCGUGGGGAGCAAACAGG